UGCGUAGGCGGCGGGGAAAGUCAGAUGUGAAAUCCGGAGGCUCAACCUCCGAAUUGCAUCCGAUACUACCUCGCUAGAGAUUUGUAGAGGAGCUUGGAAUUCUCGGUGUAGCAGUGAAAUGCGUAGAUAUCGAGAAGAACGCUCGCAGCGAAGGCGAAGCUCUGGGCAAAUUCUGACGCUGAUGCACGAAGGCGUAGGGGAGACAAAC
rnacentral:rRNA from 1 species